rnacentral:rRNA from 1 species
UACGUAGGGUGCAAGCGUUGUCCGGAAUUAUUGGGCGUAAAAGAGCUCGUAGGCGGUUUGUCGCGUCUGCUGUGAAAACGCGAGGCUCAACCUCGCGCCUGCAGUGGGUACGGGCAGACUAGAGUGCGGUAGGGGAGAUUGGAAUUCCUGGUGUAGCGGUGGAAUGCGCAGAUAUCAGGAGGAACACCGAUGGCGAAGGCAG